rnacentral:lncRNA from 1 species
CCCAAUGCUCAAAGGCAUUCGGGAAACCCAGCCUUCAAAGACCCCUUGGGGAAGCACUGCUCGAAAACAUUGGGGAACUCAACCCUCAAAGAUCCCUUGGGGAACCCAAUGCUCGAAGAUGCUACGGAACCCAACACUCAAAGACCCCUCGGGGAACACAACACUCAAAAAUGUCAGGGAACCCAACGCUCAAAGACCCCUUGGGAAACCCAGCACUCAAAAACGUCGCGGAACCCAACCCUCAAAGGCAUCGUGGAACCCAACCCUCAAAGACCCCUCGAGGAACCCAAUGCUCAAAGAGCCCUUGGGGAACUCCAUUUCAAAAACACUCGAAGAACCCAACACUGAACAACCCAGGGAACCCAGGGAACCCAACACUGAAUAUCAUGGGGAACCCAACACUGAACAUCUUGGGGAACCCAAUGCUGAACAUCUUGGGGAACCCAACACUGAACAACUCGGGGAACCCAACACUGAACAUCACGGGGAACCCGGGGAACCCAACACUGAACAUCACAGGGAAUCCAACACUAAACAACUCGGGGAACCCAACGCUGAACAUCACGGGGAACCCAACGCUGAACAUCACAGGGAACCCAAUACUGAACAUCACGGGGAACCCAGGGAACCCAACACUGAACAACUCGGGGAAUUCAAUGCUGAACAACCUGGGGAACCUAACGCUGAACAUCACGGGGAAGGAACCCAGGGAACCCAACGCUGAACAACCUGGGGAACCCAAUGCUGAACAUCACGGGGAACCCAGCGCGGAACAUCGCAGGGAACCCAACGCUGAACAUCAAGGGGAACCCAACACUGAACAUCACAUGGAACCCAACAAUGAAGAUCACAGGGAACCCAACGCUGAACAUCACGGGGAACCCAGGAAACCCAACACUGAACAACUUGGGGAAUUCAACGCUGAACAACCUGCGGAACCCAAUGCUGAACAUCACGGGGAACCCAGCGCUGAACAUCGCAGGGAACCCAAUGCUGAACAUUACGGGGAACCUAGAGAACCCAACGCUGAACAUCAAAGGGAACCCAAUGCUGAACAUCACGGGCAACCCAACGCUGAACAACUCGGGGAACCCAACACUGAAUAACUCAGGGAACCCAACACUGAAUAACUCAGGGAACCCAACACUGAACAUCACGGGGAACCCAACGCUGAACAUCACGGGGAACCCAACGCUGAACAUCACGGGGAACCCAACGCUGAAUAACCUGAGGAACUCAAUGCUGAACAUCACGGGGAACCCAACACUGAACAUCACGGGGAACCCAAUGCUGAACAUCACGGGGAACCCAGGGAACCCAACACUGAACAUCACGGGGAACCCAACACUGAACAUCACGGGGAACCCAGGGAACCCAACACUGAACAACUUGGGGAACCCAACGCUGAAUAACCUGAGGAACUCAAUGCUGAACAUCACGGGGAACCCAACGCUGAACAUCUUGGGGAACCCAAUGCUGAACAACUCAGAGAAACCAAUGCUGAACAUUACGGGGAACCCAAUGCUGAACAUCACGGGGAACCGAGCACUGAACAUUACAGGGACCCCAGGGAACCCAACACUGAACAACCUGGGGAACCCAACACUGAACAUCAUAGGGAAACCAGGGCUGAACAUCACAGGGAACCCAACACUGAACAACUCAGGGAACCCCACGCUGAACAUCUUGGGGAACCCAACGCCGCACAUCACAUCUUCGUGGUGAAGCCACGUCCUUACCCCCCCUCCUUGUUCUCCUCCUCCGCCGCCGUCUCCAUGGCCUCGGCCUCGGGCUGCUCCCCGCCGCCGACCUUCUCCUGCUCGUCGAUCCAAUCGGAGACGGCCUUGAGCGCGCGCUCGGUGUGGGACACCAUGUUCUGCACCGCCUCCAGCUCCUCCUGCGUCGGGUACACGGCGCUGUGCUUCGCCAUCACGUGGCGGUCGUCGUUCACGAAGAUCCGCAUCAGGCGCUGGGAGCAACGGGGCGCAGCUCAACCACGGCCCCACGCCGGCCCUC